rnacentral:rRNA from 1 species
UGGGGAAUAUUGCACAAUGGGCGAAAGCCUGAUGCAGCAACGCCGCGUGAGUGAUGAAGGCCUUCGGGUUGUAAAGCUCUGUCUUUUGGGACGAUAAUGACGGUACCAAAGGAGGAAGCCACGGCUAACUACGUGCCAGCAGCCGCGGUAAUACGUAGGUGGCAAGCGUUGUCCGGAUUUACUGGGCGUAAAGGAUGCGUAGGCGGAUUUUUAAGCGAGAUGUGAAAUACCCGGGCUUAACUUGGGUGCUGCAUUUCAAACUGGGAAUCUAGAGUGCGGGAGAGGAGAAUGGAAUUCCUAGUGUAGCGGUGAAAUGCGUAGAGAUUAGGAAGAACACCAGUGGCGAAGGCGAUUCUCUGGACCGUAACUGACGCUGAGGCAUGAAAGCGUGGGUAGCAAACAGGAUUAGAUACCCUGGUAGUCCACGCCGUAAACGAUGAGUACUAGGUGUAGGAGGUAUCGACCCCUUCUGUGCCGCAGUUAACACAAUAAGUACUCCGCCUGGGAAGUACGAUCGCAAGAUUAAACUUAAAUGAAUUGACGGGGUCAUAGCUGUUUCCU